GUGAGGAAUAUUGGUCAAUGGGCGAGAGCCUGAACCAGCCAAGUCGCGUGAAGGAAGAAGGAUCUAUGGUUCGUAAACUUCUUUUGCAGGGGAAUAAAGUGCGGGACGUGUCCUGUUUUGUAUGUACCCUGAGAAUAAGGAUCGGCUAACUCCGUGCCAGCAGCCGCGGUAAUACGGAGGAUCCGAGCGUUAUCCGGAUUUAUUGGGUUUAAAGGGUGCGUAGGUGGUUUGAUAAGUCAGCGGUGAAAGUUUGCAGCUUAACUGUAAAAAUGCCGUUGAAACUGUCGGACUUGAGUGUAAAUGAGGUAGGCGGAAUGCGUGGUGGAGCGGUGAAAUGCAGAGAUAUCACGCAGAACUCCGAUUGCGAAGGCAGCUUACUAAGCUACAACUGACACUGAAGCACGAAAGCGUGGGGAUCAAACAGGAUUAGAUACCCGGGUAGUCC
rnacentral:rRNA from 1 species